UUUAAGGCAUGGUCGGCAAGGUGUUUGGCUUUUAUGAAUCAGCCAUUUACCUUUGAAGUGCUUGCUGAUUAGUCUACUUACUGCCAAGGCACGUUGUGAUGGGUUCAUUUCGUGCUAAUUGUGAAAUUGUUGAGUCGAAGGAUGAGGCUGAAUUGUUCCAGCAUUCCAGAAGGUUUAAUCAAGUACUCGAACCGGACAGAAAGCAGCAGAAGCCUCCUUUGGCUAGAAAAGGAGCCGG
rnacentral:misc_RNA from 1 species